CCUUUUUUAUACUCCCAUGUUUCUUCCCAUAUCCGCUAUUUUAUAGGAAUAUCGAUAAAACCUGCUCCACGAUCCUCCACGCCAAACCAACCGUGGGCAUCAACACCAACCACGUAAUUAUAAACUGGCUUCUACUCGGAAAUUUUUUCAAAUAUAUGCUCUGUCUUCUGUUUUAUUUUUCUCUGCUCAGUUAACAUAAAUUUGCAAAUAUGGUGACAACAGUUCAUGAAAUCAGUCAAAUAUCAAGCAAUUCGAUGCAAUGGAAUCUCAAAGUUAGAGUCGUUCGAAUGUGGGAAUUGCCGGAUCGUUUCAAUCCUGGAAAACCAUAUUCCAUUGAGUUGAUUUUACAAGAUGCUAAGAUUGCAGAAAAUUCUUCGCCGACGUGCGCAAUGACUUGCAUGCACCUUCCCUUCUUAUUAUUCAGGGUGAUCGUAUCCAAGCCUCGAUUGGGAAGUAUGUAAUUAAGUUUUUUCGGACCAAGAUACAGGAACUCGGCUUAUAUCGCAUGAACUACUUUGUUGUCGGCUUACUCUGCUUUCAAGUUUUGUCCCUUAAUAUUCACUAUGCAGGUCAUCUGCUGAAGAAGCAAUCCAGCGGAUAUAGGGUGCUGUGGUUGGUCAACAAGUUGUUCGUGUUUCAUAGGGUAGGAGUCUGACAUCUAAGCAGGACGUUAGUGUUUGGAGUCAGCCUGCUGAUCCGAGUCAAUGGAACGCUUAUUAUGCCUAUGGGCAAGGUUAUGAUGCCUACGCGUAUGGAGCCACCCAGGAUCCUUCGCUAUAUGUAUAUGGUGCAUAUGCUGGUUAUGCGCAUUUACAACUUUCUUGGGUAUGUUGCUUACCUUUUGUUUGGUUGCUCUACUUUGGAACACCAUUUAUGCUGCAUUAUUAUUUAGGUUUUUUCUCUUAUAUAGUACUCCAUCAAUGAUGCUAGAAGCUGUUAUGUCAAGACAUGUCUCCAGUAUUAUUACAUCACGUUUUUAAUCUACUUUCUUAUAUGGUAAAAAAAAUUAAACUGCAGCUGAUAAAUUAUUUUGUGUUUGUUUGAAACGAUGGAUUUAAAAGUGAUAGAAAGAAUUGAUUUUCCUCCCCUGUUUACUUCAUGUCAAUACAUGAGGUGUGUUUAAAUUUAUAGUUCUAUGUCGUUUGUGCUAUUUGAGUUAUUUUGUGAAAUGAUCAGCAUGUGUUAUGUGCCUUUCUCCUUUGGUUUAAGAGGAUAAAUCAGUUUUUGAAAGUUAUCACUAUCUCUCUCCAAGUUGCUAAGUAAGAAUUGAAAUUGAAAUUAUGUGCUUGCUAGGAAGUUUCUUCCAUUGUUGGAAUCCCGGAACGCAACUGCCGUGCUGCUUCUUUUGAAAAUUAUCUUCAUUACAUGCUUGGAUUGAGUUAACACUUGGUUCUAUUAAUUAAUUUCAACACAAUACUUUGUGUUAACUAAUUUUCUGGAAUUCAAAAGAUAUUGGUUUCAAAAUUAGUUUGUUACUACUGUGAUCUUCUAUUUUAUUAAAAGUGAUUUGAAGCAAGUUUUAGUCUACCGUUGAGUUGAAUUAUUUUGUGUUUGUUUGAAACGUACAAUGAGUGUCGAUUAUAUAUAUAAUUAUUAUGAAGAGAAAAAAUACUUCAACAUAUAUAACGAGCCAAUGAAUACAACAAAAUCAGAAUUCUUUCAUGCUCCUUUAUUUCUAUCGUAUUUUUUAAGUAAUAUUUUCUUAUGAUAAAUUAUACUAAUAUGAUGAGCCCUUUUGUUUCUUCAAGUAAAAAUUCCAAGAGAUAAAAUAAAGUUCUCCAUAUUACCAUCGAAGUCGAAGGAUUAUUUAUCUCCUAAUGUUGUUGGAGAUCCACUCGACAAGAUAAAUUUGGUAAAUAAAAAAGCUAAUAUGCUUAUCCUCAUACUCAAUAUGAUAAAUUUCUUAAUGUUGCUGGUUUUCAAUAGCUUACUGCUAGGUGCUAGAUAUUUUUUGAUAUUUCAUUAUUUGAUUGUGCCCUUUGUUACUUUGACAACAAAGUAUGAUUAAUUCCGCGAUUUAUCAUUAAUGAGGCCUCCUUACUUUAUUGUUCGUACUGUUAGUGUCAUAUCAUGGGUGAAAAGACUUAAUGGCAGAGGGAAUGUAAGCGCCUCACAGUUCUUUUUUUUCUUAUUAUUUUACUUAGUCUUGCUGCAAUAGGUUUAUAAACGAAAUAUUUCACUUCUACAAAGAAGUUUGUCUUCAGUUCCAGGUCAAGACCGAAAGACAUGCGAAGUAGCUUUCAAUCCAAUCUAAUAGUUGAAGAAUGUAGGAACGGAUGACGGUUCCUCAAGAAUGUUGUCGUCACCCUUUCUGUCUGUAGUCCAAGCUGCUUCUGCUGAUUAUUCCUUUGUUGAGCUCCUAAGGAAAGUUUUUUAGUGAAUAUAUGAACGCUAUGCUUUUCUUUUUGGAUUACAGAACAAUGAAGGAGAGCAAACUAUUUCUAUAAUUAUUGAAUAUUUAGGUUGAAAGAGUGGUAUAUAAAAGCAUGAGUUGCCUUAUGUAUUAUUGAGUCAAUUGCAGACCAAAAAAUAAUUCUGUUUUUCAACCAAAGUUAGAAAGGGAGUAACCAAAGUUUGAAAGAAAUGGAGGGAAUGCAAUGAAGAUAAUUCUGCUAACAUUCAUGACUAGCGUACAAUUAUAGGUAUUCGUUUUUCUUAUCAGAGCCUUUUACCUUUAUGAUGAACCAAAGUAAGAAUGCAAUGAAGAUAAUUCCUUAAGAAGCUUCGGCAUUUCUCAUACCUUAUUUUGUUCCUUUGUGUCUAGCGCAUUUUAUAAAUAAUAUUUUCUUAUCAAAAUUAGAUUUAAUAUUUUCCGUGCAACGCGCGGGUACGAAUACUAGUAAUAAUAAUAAGCAGCAACCAUCUAUUUAAAAAAAAAAAAGUAAGAACAAAAAAAAAUAUAAGAAAAGCCCAAAAACAAAAUGGCCGAAAGGGCCCAUUACCCUUGCCUGCCAAUAAAGGGCUUAAAAAGGGUUAACAAACAAAGCUGAAAGCUUUGUUAACUUGAACGAAGCAGAAGGCUUCGAACAGCGGGAAAAAAAACGAAAAGAAAAAAAAAACAGAGCUGAGAAAGAAAGAAGAAAAAGAGAAAAGAGGGAGGAAGAAGUGGGUGCAGUGUAUUGGAGUCAUAGCUAUAAUUGCUGAGGAAUCUUAAGCACAAAUUGUCUCUUACGGGUAUUACUUGAACUUUUUCUUCGGGUAGAUUUUAAAUUCGAUUCUCUUGAUUGGAAGAUUCUACAGAGUAAUAGAAAUUAUACUAGUUCACUCACAUAAUUGAGAAUUUUUUUCCUAAAGAACCAAUAGAACUUUAUGGAAUUUGGAGUAAUAAAUUAUAUGAAUAGGUUGGAGUUGAUAAAUUGGUAAUUACUCAUAUGGGUUAAAUAUAAAUUCACAAAUUAAGAUUCAAACAUGAACCCCGAUGAUUGGGUUUUCUAAAAUAGCUAUGAAUUAGCCUAAAUAAGGAAAUUAACAUGAGAUUGAUAUUAUGUAAUUAUAGAUUGAUAGGAGGAAUUUGUACGAAUUGCUCGAGUUGAAGCAUUUGGUAUUUCGGUACGAGUACGAUGAGUAGUAAUCUUAACACAAUUUGUGUUUUCAUAACCUGCAUGGUUUAUAUAUGAUUUUAAAAAAUAAAUGUAUUACCGAUGCUUUGAAAUUGCAUGUUACUUGAUAUGAUACCGAACAGUUUACUUGAGAUGUUUACCAGUUAAUCUAAAUAUUUUUACCGUUACUAGAUAUAUUUUACCGUUACUUGAGAUGUUACAGUUAUUUGAAAUAUUUUCACUGUUACUAGAUAUGUUUUACCGUUACUUGAGACAUAAUUACUGUUACCGAAAUAAAAUUACAAGAUUUGAUAAGGAAUGAUAUGCCCUUUAUUAUUUUAAAAAUGCUUUUGUACGAGUAUUUACUAUUUACAAGAAAUAGUAUAAAUGGGAGGAGACUUUGAAGGAUCCCGUAGCUAACGGCGGGUUCGUUAGACCUGGUGCACCUUAUAUUUACAGAUUACCGAUUACCGAUUACAGUUAUAGCCCUCGCUAGUGGGAAGGAAGAACUAGCAUACAGUUACAGUUUUCCCUCGAGUAGGGACCUACCGUUAUAUUUGACUCCUUUUACGAAGGGGUCUACACAAUGCUACAGAUUACAUGAUCCUUUUCUGGAAACCUCCCAAAUAUAAAGAUUUGCUAUGACACAGUAUUUACCGAGUUUAUUACUGAAUUGUUAAAUUGAUUUUGUUACAGGAAACACAUGAUGAGACUGAUUAUUAUUACCGUUUUAAAAAAAAAGGCAUUUUAUUUUGUGACUAAUAUACAAGCAUGUUUUCUGACUUGUCCCCAAUAAAAACGGUUGUGGUUAAGUGUUAUUACUCACUGAGCUAGCGACUCAUUCCCCGCUAAUUAUUUUUUUCAGCGACAGCAGUUGACACGAGCGAGGAUUUCGUUAAUUAGAGCGCACAGGUUGAGAAUUCUUGGUGAGCCUCGCACUUGUUCGCGUGGGCGGAAACUUUAUCAAUUGUUAUGGUCUUUUCUUUGAAAUCUUAGAGUCGUUCCAUGGUCAUUGUUUUAGUGUAUUAAGUAGUCUUUGUUAUUAUAGACUUAUAUUGAGUAACGCUCAUUCUUAUAAUAAAAAAAAAUUGGAGAUAAAGUAGUAUGUCUAGUUGUUAGUGGGUAGACUGUUGAAGGUAGAUAUAUAUAUUUUUUUGGUUAAUUGAUAAAGUCCUUGUCAUUUGAAUUGCUAUUAGGAUGUUGGGUUACUGAUUUGAGACAGGAAAAUUUUUGGGAUGGUUCAAAAACAGGGGAAACUCUGUCCGAUUUUCUAAAAAAUUUCCGAUAAAGCUUACUUGGGAGCACUAGCUCCUGAGCGCCGAUCACGGUCCUAAUUUGGGUCGUGACAAUACUAAACCUUAUUACCUUCAUUGUUUAAGAAUUGUGUUAAUUACAUUUAAGCAUACCAAAUUACCAUUUAUAUACCAUAAUUCAAAUUAAGGGUAUAAUUAUUGCUUCAUUUAUUCUAGGCGUGAUUUUAGGAGCGUAUAUUCACUUUAUUUCGUUUAUCCGCCUCUCUCUCCUCCCACCCCCACGAUUUACCCGAGUACAUCAUUCACUAAGAUUGGCAAUGGAGUGAUUAUGUGGAAUCGCUAAACGUCUUGCUAAUGUCUACAAAAAACCUUGACAUAUGAUACCUUUCUUCAAAUUCGCUUAAGCAAAAAAUGCGAGUAAACAUCAAUUUCAAUUGAUAUCACCAAAUCCUUUUUGUCAUGUCAAAGUGAGUCUCAGUCCUUAAUCCCAGUGGACUUUUACUACGGGAAAACAUAGUACUACUGCAUAUCUUAGAUUCGGCAUAAGUUGGAAAAAGAAUGUGGACUGCACAUUUUUUGUUCUUCUAUCAAAUUGAAG